rnacentral:rRNA from 1 species
UACGUAGGGUGCGAGCGUUAAUCGGAAUUACUGGGCGUAAAGCGUGCGCAGGCGGUUUUGUAAGCCAGAUGUGAAAUCCCCGGGCUCAACCUGGGAAUGGCAUUUGGGACUGCAAGGCUGGAGUUUGGCAGAGGAGACUGGAAUUCCUGGUGUAGCAGUGAAAUGCGUAGAUAUCAGGAGGAAUACCGAUGGCGAAGGCGGCAUCCUGGACCAACACUGACGCUGAGUGAGCGAAAGCCAGGGGAGCAAACGGG